AUAGUCUACGACCCUGAACAUGCCCAAUCUUGUCUGAUCUCGGAAGCUAAGUAAGGUUGGGCCUGGUUAGUACUUGGAUGGGAGACAUGUGCCAUAAAUUUAGAAUAAACCUGUU
rnacentral:rRNA from 1 species